rnacentral:rRNA from 1 species
AGACAACUUUUGACGGUGGAUCUCUUGGCUCACGCAUCGAUGAAGAACGCAGCCAGCUGCGAUAAGUAGUGUGAAUUGCAGAAUUCAGUGAAUCAUCUAAUCUUUGAACGCAAAUGGCGCUCUUGGGUUCUCCCAGGAGCAUGUCUGUCUGAGUGUCG